UACGUAGGGGGCAAGCGUUGUCCGGAAUCAUUGGGCGUAAAGAGCGUGUAGGCGCCAGAAAAGUCCGCUGUGAAAACUCGAGGCUCAACUUCGAGCUGUCGGUGGAAACUUUCUGGCUAGAGUCCGGUAGGGGAGCGUGGAAUUCCCUGGUGUAGCGGUGAAAUGCGCAGAUAUCAGGAGGAACACCGGUGGCGAAGGCGGGUCUCUGGGCCGAUAUCGACGCUGAGGAGCGAAAGCGUGGGGAGCGAACAGG
rnacentral:rRNA from 1 species